AGAAAACAGAAAUCAUGAUCAACUAAGCCCCUACAGUGGAAGUGUGUUGAAUCAAGAGUAGAUAGUAAGUGCCUUUAUUAUGGUCGUUUCAUUCUGUCCCCGCUUAGAAAAGGUCAAGCGGACACCGUCGGUAUGGCCUUGCGAAGAGCUUUACUCAUGGGACCUCAGGGGUCGACUCUUAUGUGA
rnacentral:rRNA from 1 species